rnacentral:rRNA from 1 species
AUGAACGCUGGCGGCGUGCCUAAUACAUCCCAGUCGAGCGAACGGACGAGAAGCUUGCUUCUCUGAUGUUAGCGGCGGACGGGUGAGUAACACGUGGAUAACCUACCUAUAAGACUGGGAUAACUUCGGGAAACCGGAGCUAAUACCGGAUGAUAUUUUGAACCGCAUGGUUCAAAAGUGAAAGACGGUCUUGCUGUCACUUAUAGAUGGAUCCGCGCUGCAUUAGCUAGUUGGUAAGGUAACGGCUUACCAAGGCAACGAUGCAUAGCCGACCUGAGAGGGUGAUCGGCCACACUGGAACUGAGACACGGUCCAGACUCCUACGGGAGGCAGCAGUAGGGAAUCUUCCGCAAAGGGCGAAAGCCUGACGGAGCAACGCCGCGUGAGUGAUGAAGGUCUUCGGAUCGUAAAACUCUGUUAUUAGGGAAGAACAUAUGUGUAAGUAACUGUGCACAUCUUGACGGUACCUAAUCAGAAAGCCACGGCUAACUACGUG